AAGUCGAGGGGCAGCAUGAACUUAGCUUGCUAAGUUUGAUGGCGACCGGCGCACGGGUGAGUAACACGUAUCCAACCUGCGACCUGACUCGGGGAUAGCCUUUCGAAAGAAAGAUUAAUACCCGAUGGCAUAGUUCUUCCGCAUGGUAGAACUAUUAAAGAAUUUCGGUCAUCGAUGGGGAUGCGUUCCAUUAGGUUGUUGGCGGGGUAACGGCCCACCAAGACUACGAUGGAUAGGGGUUCUGAGAGGAAGGUCCCCACAUUGGAACUGAGACACGGUCCAAACUCC
rnacentral:rRNA from 1 species